rnacentral:rRNA from 1 species
UGGGGAAUAUUGCACAAUGGAGGAAACUCUGAUGCAGCGAUGCCGCGUGAGGGAAGAAGGUUUUAGGAUUGUAAACCUCUGUCUUCAGGGACGAAAAAAGACGGUACCUGAGGAGGAAGCUCCGGCUAACUACGUGCCAGCAGCCGCGGUAAUACGUAGGGAGCGAGCGUUGUCCGGAAUUACUGGGUGUAAAGGGAGCGUAGGCGGGAUCGCAAGUCAGAUGUGAAAACUAUGGGCUUAACCCAUAAACUGCAUUUGAAACUGUGGUUCUUGAGUGAAGUAGAGGUAAGCGGAAUUCCUAGUGUAGCGGUGAAAUGCGUAGAUAUUAGGAAGAACAUCAGUGGCGAAGGCGGCUUACUGGGCUUUAACUGACGCUGAGGCUCGAAAGCGUGGGGAGCAAACAGGAUUAGAUACCCUGGUAGUCCACGCCGUAAACGAUGAUUACUAGGUGUGGGGGGACUGACCCCUUCCGUGCCGCAGCAAACGCAAUAAGUAAUCCACCUGGGGAGUACGACCGCAAGGUUGAAACUCAAAGGAAUUGACGGGGGCCCGCACAAGCAGUGGAGUAUGUGGAUUAAUUCGAAGCAACGCGAAGAACCUUACCAGGUCUUGACAUCGUAUGCAUAGCUCAGAGAUGAGUGAAAUCUCUUCGGAGACAUAUAGACAGGUGGUGCAUGGUUGUCGUCAGCUCGUGUCGUGAGAUGUUGGGUUAAGUCCCGCAACGAGCGCAACCCUUACUGUUAGUUGCUACGCAAGAGCACUCUAGCAGGACUGCCGUUGACAAAACGGAGGAAGGUGGGGAUGACGUCAAAUCAUCAUGCCCCUUAUGACCUGGGCCUCACACGUACUACAAUGGCUGUCAACAGAGGGAAGCAAAGCCGCGAGGUGGAGCAAACCCCUAAAAGCAGUCUUAGUUCGGAUUGUAGGCUGCAACCCGCCUACAUGAAGUCGGAAUUGCUAGUAAUCGCAGAUCAGCAUGCUGCGGUGAAUACGUUCCC